GACGAACCGUGCGAACGUUGUUCGGAAUCACUGGGCGUAAAGCGCACGUAGGCGGCUUUCUAAGUCAGGGGUGAAAUCCUGGAGCUCAACUCCAGAACUGCCUUUGAUACUGAAGAUCUUGAGUUCGGGAGAGGUGAGUGGAACUGCGAGCGUAGAGGUGAAAUUCGUAGAUAUUCGCAAGAACACCAGUGGCGAAGGCGGCUCACUGGCCCGAUACUGACGCUGAGGCACGAAAGCGUGGGGAGCAAACAGG
rnacentral:rRNA from 1 species